CGUUGUUACUAAUUCUUUAUUAUAAUAUUGACUUUGUCCAACUCAUAUAAUAACCGAAAAAUAAUAUAUAGACAUAUAUACUAGAUCUAAUAUAUAUAAUAGAAUAUUGUAAAGCGAUUUGAUAUACAAAUUUUUAUUUAUUCUUAAAAUAUUUUUCAUGGUGUAUAUAAAAAGAAUAUCUUUUAGAGGAUCAUGGCUCCUAUUGCUCCGGCUCUCUAUAAAUAGAUUAUUGAGUCCUCAGAGUGUUGUGUAUCAAAUCAUACAGAGAAUUAAAAUGCAUUCGUCUUCUAAGGUCAGCACCAAACUUUGCAUGGCAACACUGUUCUUCUUCUUCUUAUUAUUCUUAACCAAUUUCACAUAUGCUUCAAGACCUGUCCCUGAAUCAUCUUCCCAACCACCUCCGGUUGUGGAGAAAUCAUUUAAUGUGGAGGAAUAUUGUGAGGGUGUUGCUAAUAAAGAUGAAUGCUUAAUGAGAAGAACACUUGAAGCUCACGUAGAUUAUAUCUAUACACAGAAGGCAAAUCCAUGAUAUAUAUCUCUGCAUCACACUUUUGUUGUAAUUUUAUGUAUAAGCUAUAGUUUUCAUCAUAUAUGCAUGAAGAGCUACUAUACUUCACUUUUCCUUUUCUUGUUUUGAUAUAGAAAGAUAUAUUGAUAAAUAUAUAGUAUUUGUAACCAACUAUGGAUGUAUAUUGAGUUUGGUAGAUAUAAAUUUUGGUUUGUACUUUUUUAAUGUUUUUAAUUACUUGUUAACAAUUUUAGAUUGUGUAAUGAAUUCAGACAUGAUUCAUUUUUACACUUUAAUGGAACCUUGCAUGAUGAAGCUAAGAAUAA